GGCCUGGCUGGCCGGUCCGCCUCACCGCGUGCACUGGUCCGGCCGGGCCUUUCCUUCUGGCUAGCCGCAUGCUCUUCACUGAGUGUGUCGGGGAACCAGGACUUUUACUUUGAAAAAAUUAGAGUGUUCAAAGCAGGCCUUUGCUCGAAUAUGUUAGCAUGGAAUAAUAAAACAGGACGU
rnacentral:rRNA from 1 species